rnacentral:lncRNA from 1 species
CUCAAUUUUUCCUACUAUUUGAUAGUAUCCCACUUUUAGGGCUAUAUUAUGAAUUACACGAUUAACAGUUGAAGAGAAGACCUGUAACUUGUUGAUCUCCAGGUGAUUUUCUCCUCAAUCUUUCAUGACAACAUCGUAUCAUUUCGAUUCACUACACUAAUCUUGUGUUUUUUAUUUCUUAUACUAGUGUCCAAAAUCAAAUGGUGGAAAAGUCCUCUGUAAGUAUUUCAUCAAUGUCACUGUUUCCUCAAACAUGCGGUUCAACCCUCUAUGUAACAGUAUCCAUUCAUAACCGUACACAAAUCACUAUUUCGAAAUAUUCAUCUUUCUUAGUGGGAAAUGAUUGCAAUACGCUACAUGGUAAUGAAGGAUUCCCCACAGAGAAGGUAGGCCAAAAUGUUUUUUUAAUCAUUAUUCCUACCUGUAUACCCGCUCAGAAUCAUUUAACUCUCCCCUACUAAAGACCAAAUAGUCUCAGCCUCCCUCUUUGGAAGUAAGUUGGGUUGUGGCUCUACCAACACUUGAAAAUACUGCAUCUGAACACUAACUCGUUCAUCAAGUAUUGCCUCGCUGUAUUACACUUGAGUACCAAAUCACUUCAUGAUGCUGGUUCAUAACAAAACGCUGCCUGUAGUUACUGCAACUGGGUAUAACAUCACUUCUAAACAUUCAUUUCCUUAAAUAUAUCUAAAAUGACUCAUUUGUAAUACUUUGGAAUCAACCCUAAGCUUGAAAUGAUUUCAGCUGAGUAUCAACAGAACCUGUCGGGAAGCACUGCAACUGAUAAACAACAAACCAAUUCAGGACUCAUACGUUUACCAAUCAAACCCUUCUCGAAAUGACACCACAUCUGAGGGGCACCAUAUCUCUUGGUGACAUGUAUUUUGGGUCAAUGACUCUAGUAGAACCAACAGUCAAGUAUCUGAAACUCAUCCAUGAAACAAAAUUCAGUCUAAGAACAACUGAGCACUAACUGACCGGUCACUCUCGCUAAUCAUGAAUACAUCAAGUUCAUCACAUCAUGUUCCGUCACAGCUCUACACAAGUACCAUAGCUAGCUUUCAGCAAGGGAAUAUAAUAUCCUCAAUGAUACUUAACACAACAUGCUUCUACUUUCCACUUCACCUCACCAUGAAGAAUUCCCUUUACCCUGGUAACAAUUCAAGUCCAUUAACUAUAUUCAUACUUUUCACAGGUUGGAAGAGAGAAUGUUACAAGCCACUAUGAAUGAGAUGGAGAUCAUUCGUUACAAAGUUGACAUGGCAUGAACGUCUACCAAUAAAGGGACGUCUUUUCAUUUCCAAGCGAAGUAGAGCGUGACUGAAACAAAAACAUCAAGACAUUUAAAGCCAUGACAACAAUGCUAAUAUUAUGUACCUUGUAAAUAUUUAUUUUUAAUGGUUCCUCCCAAUUAUGGUUUAUCAGUUCAAGGAGUUAAGAGAUAUAUACCUGAAAAAGUAUAAUGUUAAAUCAUGUAUAUAUAUAUAUUAUGAAGUAAAGGAAAGAGCACUUGAUAUGAGCAAAGAUAAAUAAAGUACACAAACACA